rnacentral:rRNA from 1 species
GACGAACGUUGGCGGCGUGCUUAACACAUGCAAGUCGAACGGUAAGGCCCUGCUUUUGUGGGGUGCUCGAGUGGCGAACGGGUGAGUAACACGUGAGUAACCUGCCCUUGACUUUGGGAUAACUUCAGGAAACUGGGGCUAAUACCGGAUAGGAGCUCCUGCUGCAUGGUGGGGGUUGGAAAGUUUCGGCGGUUGGGGAUGGACUCGCGGCUUAUCAGCUUGUUGGUGGGGUAGUGGCUUACCAAGGCUUUGACGGGUAGCCGGCCUGAGAGGGUGACCGGCCACAUUGGGACUGAGAUACGGCCCAGACUCCUACGGGAGGCAGCAGUGGGGAAUAUUGCACAAUGGGCGGAAGCCUGAUGCAGCAACGCCGCGUGCGGGAUGACGGCCUUCGGGUUGUAAACCGCUUUCGCCUGUGACGAAGCGUGAGUGACGGUAAUGGGUAAAGAAGCACCGGCUAACUACGUGCCAGCAGCCGCGGUGAUACGUAGGGUGCGAGCGUUGUCCGGAUUUAUUGGGCGUAAAGGGCUCGUAGGUGGUUGAUCGCGUCGGAAGUGUAAUCUUGGGGCUUAACCCUGAGCGUGCUUUCGAUACGGGUUGACUUGAGGAAGGUAGGGGAGAAUGGAAUUCCUGGUGGAGCGGUGGAAUGCGCAGAUAUCAGGAGGAACACCAGUGGCGAAGGCGGUUCUCUGGGCCUUUCCUGACGCUGAGGAGCGAAAGCGUGGGGAGCGAACAGGCUUAGAUACCCUGGUAGUCCACGCUGUAAACGGUGGGUACUAGGUGUGGGGUCCAUUCCACGGGUUCCGUGCCGUAGCUAACGCUUUAAGUACCCCGCCUGGGGAGUACGGCCGCAAGGCUAAAACUCAAAGGAAUUGACGGGGCCCCGCACAAGCGGCGGAGCAUGCGGAUUAAUUCGAUGCAACGCGUAGAACCUUACCUGGGUUUGACAUGGAUCGGGAGUGCUCAGAGAUGGGUGUGCCUCUUUUGGGGUCGGUUCACAGGUGGUGCAUGCCUGUCGUCAGCUCGUGUCGUGAGAUGUUGGGUUAAGUCCCGCAACGAGCGCAACCCUUGUUCACUGUUGCCAGCACGUUAUGGUGGGGACUCAGUGGAGACCGCCGGGGUCAACUCGGAGGAAGGUGGGGAUGACGUCAAGUCCUCAUGCCCCUUAUGUCCAGGGCUUCACGCAUGCUACAAUGGCUGGUACAGAGAGUGGCGAGCCUGUGAGGGUGAGCGAAUCUCGGAAAGCCGGUCUCAGUUCGGAUUGGGGUCUGCAACUCGACCUCAUGAAGUCGGAGUCGCUAGUAAUCGCAGAUCAGCAACGCUGCGGUGAAUACGUUCCCGGGGCU